rnacentral:rRNA from 1 species
AGUUGGAAACGACUGUUAAUACCGCAUAAUAUCUGUGGAUUAAAGGUGGCUUUCGGGCUGUCGCAGAUGGAUGAGCCUGCGUUGGAUUAGCUAGUUGGUGGGGUAAGGGCCCACCAAGGCUACGAUCCAUAGCUGAUUUGAGAGGAUGAUCAGCCACAUUGGGACUGAGACACGGCCCAAACUCCUACGGGAGGCAGCAGUGGGGAAUAUUGGACAAUGGGGGCAACCCUGAUCCAGCAAUGCCAUGUGUGUGAAGAAGGCCCUAGGGUUGUAAAGCACUUUAGUUGGGGAGGAAAGCCUCAAGGUUAAUAGCCUUGGGGAGGACGUUACCCAAAGAAUAAGCACCGGCUAACUCCGUGCCAGCAGCCGCGGUAAUACGGGGGGUGCAAGCGUUAAUCGGAAUUACUGGGCGUAAAGGGUCUGUAGGUGGUUUGUUAAGUCAGAUGUGAAAGCCCAGGGCUCAACCUUGGAACUGCAUUUGAUACUGGCAAACUAGAGUACGGUAGAGGAAUGGGGAAUUUCUGGUGUAGCGGUGAAAUGCGUAGAGAUCAGAAGGAACACCAAUGGCGAAGGCAACAUUCUGGACCGAUACUGACACUGAGGGACGAAAGCGUGGGGAUCAAACAGGAUUAGAUACCCUGGUAGUCCACGCUGUAAACGAUGAGUACUAGCUGUUGGAGUCGGUGUAAAGGCUCUAGUGGCGCAGCUAACGCGAUAAGUACUCCGCCUGGGGACUACGGCCGCAAGGCUAAAACUCAAAGGAAUUGACGGGGACCCGCACAAGCGGUGGAGCAUGUGGUUUAAUUCGAUGCAACGCGAAGAACCUUACCUGGUCUUGACAUCCUGCGAACUUUCUAGAGAUAGAUUGGUGCCUUCGGGAACGCAGUGACAGGUGCUGCACGGCUGUCGUCAGCUCGUGUUGUGAAAUGUUGGGUUAAGUCCCGCAACGAGCGCAACCCCUAUUGAUAGUUACCAUCAUUAAGUUGGGUACUCUAUUGAGACUGCCGCUGACAAGGCGGAGGAAGGUGGGGACGACGUCAAGUCAUCAUGGCCCUUACGACCAGGGCUACACACGUGCUACAAUGGGUAUUACAGAGGGCUGCGAAGGUGCGAGCUGGAGCGAAACUCAAAAAGGUACUCUUAGU